GACGAACGCUGGCGGCGUGCUUAACACAUGCAAGUCGAACGGAAAGGCCCUGCUUGCAGGGUACUCGAGUGGCGAACGGGUGAGUAACACGUGGGUGAUCUGCCCUGCACUUCGGGAUAAGCCUGGGAAACUGGGUCUAAUACCGGAUAGGAGCCAUUUUUAGUGUGAUGGUUGGAAAGUUUUUUCGGUGUAGGAUGAGCUCGCGGCCUAUCAGCUUGUUGGUGGGGUAAUGGCCUACCAAGGCGGCGACGGGUAGCCGGCCUGAGAGGGUGGACGGCCACAUUGGGACUGAGAUACGGCCCAGACUCCUACGGGAGGCAGCAGGGGGGAAUCUUGCACAAUGGGCGCAAGCCUGAUGCAGCGCCGCCGCGUGGGGGAGGACGGCCUUCGGGUUGUAAACUCCUUUCGCUAGGGACGAAGCUUUUUGUGACGGUACCUAGAUAAGAAGCACCGGCUAACUACGUG
rnacentral:rRNA from 1 species